CUAAAACUGUGAAAGAAACUGAAUCCACAUCAUUUACAAAGGAGCACAAACUAGACUGGCACCAAGCUUCUCGUCAGAGGACUGAGGCUAACAGACAGACAGAAUUAAAGGUGGGAAGGAACAAGGGGCUGUCGCUCUUCGGUGAACCUGGAAUUUCUCCAUGUGCUUGCCAGAACCCCAGAAUGAAAUUAGAAUGCAGUAUCUAACAACAACAUUGCUGUAGGCAAUAAUUUAAUCUAUUUUGCUGUUUUAAAAAAUCAAGGCUUUGCCCUCCCUGGCCCUGAGCUCUGCACUGGCCAUGGCUCUGCUUUCUCAGGUCCCCACUCUCCACCCACCAUCACACAUCUGAAAGGGAGCAACCCAAUAGCAGAAGAAAUUAGGGGGACCUUAUAUUCCAGGAGACAUUAUAAAAAGCAAACCUACUCAUAUUUUAAAAGACAGAUUGAUUCCUGCCCUCUCUGUCCAAGUUGAGACUAGCAGAGGAUUCGUCAAUGAGCAGGCAGGUGAGGGAGGAGCUCCUGUUGUGUCGGCUCCCCUGAAGUUGCUCCUGGUCAGGCAGAAAUGGCCCUGCUGGAAUCCCUCAGCACACACGUACCCUGACACAUGCACAUGUCAGUGCAGUGUAACAGGACAGUUUGCCUCUCACAAGAGAACCUAAAAUGCGAAUUACCAGCAUUUCCAGCCUCCUUGCUGCUGGAGAUGGUGACGUGAUACAGUUCUGGGAUGGCCUUGUGGCAGAGUCCUGAAAUGGCAACAUGACACAGCUGGGGGGGCAACAUGACCGUCCCACAGUGGCAAUGUGAUGACGUAACACAUUUCUGGAAUGGCCAUGUAACAAAGCUCUUGGGUGGUGAAGUGCCACAUUUCUAGCAUGUUCUGGGUGACCAUGGGAUACAUAGUAUUUGGGUGGCCAUAGGACACAGUCCUGGGAUGGCAGUGUGACCCAGUUCUGGGGUGGUGAUGGGACAGUGCAAAAUGUUUGUGGUCAACAAAGCCUAAAGGAUGUCUGCUGGAGAGUUUCUAGGAAAGAUUCUCCCUCUAUAUAAGAAGGGCUAUGGGAAAAGAACAUUCUCACCCCUGGGACUUCCCCUUUCUCUUCUCACAUGGAACUGAUUUACAUGAGCCCAUGGUCUUGGGGCUGCUGCAACAGCCAUCAUGCUGUGGUGAUGGCAGGCAUUUCACCCAUUAAGGAUGGCAAACAAAUAAAAAGUACCAGGAACCUUGAUGGCAUUUGGAGUAGGUUUAACAACCUUUGACCUGACGACCCCUAAAUUUCUUCUUAAGUGAGAUAGUAGAUAAACUCUUAAUAUUUAUGUCACAUACAUGUGCACUGUUUUUAUUGCAUAUAUACAACUCUGCUAGUCUAGGAAACUAUAAACAUUUCCUGUAGAAAUUAGAAUUAUUUUUGCAAACAGUUACAUGAAGUGCUUUUUGAUAAAGAGUUCAGGACAAAAAAAAUCCAUUUGAAACUUUGUGAAGAAUAUCAUGAGUUAGAUAAAUAUGAGGCAAGAAGGCUCCUUGACCUGGACUAAAGGCAUAAAAUCUUUUGAUUGAAGUUAUAUGCCAAAUACUUUGUCAUGAGCAGCUCUGGAAGUAAGUGGCCAGUUUUUAUAAGAAGCUGAGGCCUUCUGGGAGAUUCAAAUUCCCCCGAUUCCUGCUCACCAAAGUUCAAAAUAAGGAAAACCAAUAAUUUCCACUGAGGUGGCCAGAGCCACCUGCAGUAAGUUUACCUUGACCAGCAUAAGACUAGGCUCACCAUCUGGGGAUCAGUGUGUAUCACGCUGAAACCUCCGCAGCUCCCUCUCAGUGAUUGAGAAUCAGAAAACAAUAGUUGAGCAUGAAAUCUAGAAACCUCAGUGUCUAUGUGAAGAGAUGUGAAUAAGCAAGGGCAUGCCAGGCCCACAAACAAUACUCUCAAAACAGUACAGGAUGUGAAAGUAAUGGCAUUAGUGGGAUUCUGAGAUGACAACCUCCAAUUUGUUUUCCGCAUAUGGAAGCAGGCCGAAUCCUCGACCCCCCCUUACUUUAAUAGUAUGAGCAAGUGAUGGGUUGGAACUGAGACCUGAAGGAAGAAUUAACAAAAUUCUCACUAACAGAGCUUGUGGAAAUCAAAGCCUUAACUAAAAAUGAAUGAACAAAUGAGUGAAAACGCCAAUGAUCCCUCAAUAUGAUACAGGAUAUACAGAUAGAUAUUUGCCAGUGGCAUACAUUUGCCUACUUAAAUAUCAGACUUGAGAAUUAAAUGAUAACUUUGGAUUGUCCCAAAAUAAAAUGAAUAAUUAAGCAGUUAUUCUUCCCUGAUAUAAUUUUUCUGGUCUUUGCCAUAAUAUUCUAUUUCAGAUAGGAUUUCCUAACAUGUUAAGGAGUGCUUUUUAAGAGUUUUCUAAGAACAGAUAAAUGUGGAAAACAUUUUUUACACAAAUUUAAACAUGUUACCUUGAUCCAAGCCUUCUGAAGCCUUUAAAAUGCAGUAUGACUAUCUAAGAGGGGCUAGAGUAAUAAUCUAAAAAUUAUGUAACCACUGAAGGUUUUAUCACAGACCUCUUAUGUGACAAGUUUCUUGUGACACAUUAUUUGAGAAACCCUUAUUUAGCAUUUGACAAGCAACCUAUAGGCAAUGAAUGUCUAACUUUUUACAUAUAUUUCCCUUAAAUUAAAAAUAUUCAAAUUUAUUCCAAUUAUUUGGAAUUUAAUCUUGUGUUCAAUUGCAGUUGUACUCAUCACUCUGAAGUUUUCAAUAUUAAUGCAUAGUUUAGUCUGUUGGAGUAGUUUUUUAAAUAAGUUUUCAAAGGUGGGUCAUGAAUAAUACAUUUUCUGAUCACCCCCAAAUAUGGAGAAAUAUUUUUUGCAUUGUCUCUUUGUGUAACAUUCAUCUUGGCUAUGUACAAAAGUACUGGGUCCUGAAAUCAUACUUUCAAAACAGUAGGAAAAGUUUUUUUAUAUUAUUGCAUAGAUAUUAGGAACAAGCCUGAAUUUUUCCUUUUGUACAUUGAGGAAUGAGGGAAGGGAAAGCAGCAGGGAGUUAAACCCAGAUACUCAUAGGCUGUUUGUUUUGAUUCAGAUUAUUUAAAAUGUUUGAAAGGGUGUCUAAUGUGCAUAUCCAAAAUAAUGUUGAAUGCAAUUUUCAAAAUACUUUAAAUCUGUAUGACUGGAUUACUAUGAAAUCUCACUUUGUUGGAGGCAUAAACAUGAAAAGCAUUCCUUUGAUGCAAAGAUUGGCACCUUCCAUGUUCAAUGGCACCUCUUUUCCUAGUGAGUCCCCAGUUUCCUAAUUGGUAUGUCAAUUUGACUCAAUAA